rnacentral:lncRNA from 1 species
ACGCAUCACAUAUAAUAUCACAUACUGGACAUGAAACAUCACUAAGGAUAGCUUAUGAAAAUUCCUCAUGCAUAGAUAAGGCUCAUUCUACAACAGCCACCAGAAAAAAUCAACAAAAUAAAUAAUUAAAAUAGAUUUUAACACUCUAUUAAAUUGCACAAGAGGCCAAUGGUUGUGCUGGAUCAUACCUGACGGGUACGGAUACACCCAAUAAAGUCAAAAAAUAGGAUACCUC